rnacentral:rRNA from 1 species
GACGAACGCUGGCGGCGUGCCUAAUACAUGCAAGUUGAGCGCUGAAGGUUGGUACUUGUACCAACUGGAUGAGCAGCGAACGGGUGAGUAACGCGUGGGGAAUCUGCCUUUGAGCGGGGGACAACAUUUGGAAACGAAUGCUAACACCGCAUAAAAACUUUAAACACAAGUUUUAAGUUUGAAAGAUGCAAUUGCAUCACUCAAAGAUGAUCCCGCGUUGUAUUAGCUAGUUGGUGAGGUAAAGGCUCACCAAGGCGAUGAUACAUAGCCGACCUGAGAGGGUGAUCGGCCACAUUGGGACGGAGACACGGCCCAAACUCCUACGGGAGGCAGCAGUAGGGAAUCUUCGGCAAUGGACGAAAGUCUGACCGAGCAACGCCGCGUGAGUGAAGAAGGUUUUCGGAUCGUAAAACUCUGUUGGUAGAGAAGAACGUUGGUGAGAGUGGAAAGCUCAUCAAGUGACGGUAACUACCCAGAAAGGGACGGCUAACUACGUG